AGCGAACGCUGGCGGCAGGCUUAACACAUGCAAGUCGAGCGCCCCGCCAGUGGGGCGGCGGACGGGAGAGUAACACGUGGGGACAUACCUUGUGGUUCGUAACAACUGAGGGAUACUUCAGCGAAUACCGGAGAAGCCCUUACGGGGUAAGAUAUAUCGCCUAAGGAUUGGCGCGCGUCUGAUUAGCUACUUGGUGAGGUAACGGCUCAGCAAGGCGACGAUCAGUAGCUGGGAUGAGAGGCUGAUCAGCCACACUGGGACUGAGCCACGGCCGAGACUGCUACGCGAGGGAGGAGAGGCGAAUAUUGCCAGACGGGGGCAGCCAUGAUGCAGCCCGGGCGGGUAAGUGAUGAUGGCCGUAGAGAUAUGCAGCUGUUUUGCACGGGGAGAUACUGACGGUACCGGGAGAAUAAGCACCGGCUAACUUCGUG
rnacentral:rRNA from 1 species